GUAGCACACCCACCCAUUCAAUGUUGGGAAGCAAUGCAUCAGUGUAAUGAUGCUUUUUGAGGAAGAGGGGGAAUAAAAUUGCUGUGGAUGGAAAGGCAGACCUGUCUUGCAUAGUUUUGUUUGCAGCCAGAAGGAAGAUCAGUCUCUGUGUGCUUCCCAUGACCCAUGACCAGUCCUGUAUCAAUCCAAUGGAGGGGGCAGGUGCUCAGAGGAGAGCCCAGAGUGCAGAGGAGACAGGUACUGAUCUUGUCUGGUGCUAAGGAAGAAAACCAUGGUCACAGCAGAAACUGGCAGUUUGCCUUGGCCUAGACCAGCAUCCAACCCAUACUCUGAUGGGAGAAAUGCAAUAGAUUGAAGUACACCUUGUCACCAGCA